ensembl:lncRNA
UCUAUUUCCUAAUACAGGGCUUCUGUUCAGUUAGGAUAAUGAGCACAGAGGAAAAUGGUAAACUUUUAGGUCUGGAAGUGGUCUUAGCCUACUCCCUUCGUUUUCUGGGUGAGGAAAUUGAAGCCCAGAGGACUCUGGUGAUUUCCCUAAGGUCAGACAAUGAUUUUAGUAGUAGGGCUAGAAACAGAACCCAGGUACCGACCCAGCAUCCAAGCACUCGGGGCAACUUCUCCUACAACUUUUUAUUGCCAGCCUCUCACUCUCAGAAAAGGGAGUGUCUUCAUAUUACAGUUUAUCUGAAGUCUCUGCAGGGAGGAAAAUAAUUCCUGAGAAGGUGAUUGGAGAGAUUUCCAGUCCUUUACAACUUCCUGGAGACUGGGCAGGGAGGUUAACUCUCCUUGUCACAUUCCAGGAAAUACCAGGAAGGAGUGACUUCCACAUGAUCUGCGGGCCUGAUGUCCCUAGAGGGUAGGGCAGGCCUCCCUCCCCUUCCUAGAGAGAUGGGAAGGGGAGAGCAGUCAGCACAGGACAGACCUGGACUCAGAACAAGUCACUUGGACUUCCCUGGCUGCCUAAUGGUUAGGAGUCUGCACAGGUUUGGUCUUGAUCCCUGGUCCAGGAAGAUCCCACAUGCCACAGGGCAACUAAGCCUGUGGGCCGUAACUACUGAACCCGAGCUCUAGAGCCCGUGCUCUGCAAGAGAAGCCAGCAUAACGAGAAGCCCUGUGCUGCAACUAGAGAGUAACCCGGCUUGAGGCAAUUAGAAAGCCCACAUGGAGCAAGGAAGACCCACAGCCAAAAUUAAAUAAGUAAACAAAAAUUUUUUUUUUAAAAGGACAAGUCACUUAGCAUCACUCAAGCCCCAAAUACUCCAAACUCCUCAGAAUAUGGAGCUGUGACUCCUAGAGCUUCAACCUCUCUUAAUAAUAACUGAUAACAAUAAUAAUAUUGCUAUGUCCCAGACACAGUUCAGGGCUAUCAUACAUUAUCUUUGCCUGAACGCUUACAUGCUUUUGAGAGGCAAAAUAAAGUGGUAGUUAAGGGCCUGGUCUCUGGUUAAAACUUCCUGGGCUCAAAUCCAGAUCUCUCACUCACAUAUAGGGCAAUACAGCAAAAAUCAAGUGAAUUAGUAUGUAUAAAGCAUUCACCAUAGCACUGGGCACACAGCAAGCUCUGUGUGCUUUAAUUAUUAAAAUCUUAUAGUCACCUCAGGGCCUUUUCUUAAUCAUCUUAUCUAAAGGGCUCCUUUAAUGAUUCACUUUCAGAUUAUUGUUUUAUUAUUUUUGAAUCUCUUUAUCAUGAUCUGGAAUCAAAAUUGCCGGGAGAAAUAUCAAUAACCUCAGAUAUGCAGAUGACACCACCCUUAUGGCAGAAAGUGAAGAGGAACUCAAAAGCCUCUUGAUGAAAGUGAAAGUGGAGAGUGAAAAAGUUGGCUUAAAGCUCAACAUUGAAAACGAAGAUCAUGGCAUCCGGUCCCACCAUUUCAUGGGAAAUAGAUGGUAAAACAGUGGAAACAGUGUCAGACUUUAUUUUUCUGGGCUCCAAAAUCACUGCAGAUGGUGACUGCAGCCAUGAAAUUGAAAGACGCUUACUCCUUGGAAGGAAAGUUAUGACCAACCUAGACAGCAUAUUCAAAGCAGAGACAUUACUUUGCCAACAAAGGUCCAUCUAGUCAAGGCUAUGGUU